rnacentral:rRNA from 1 species
GAAGACGUGACGUGGAGCGAACUAAAGUAGCGAAGUGUGUGAGCCAGCUGUCAAGAAAAGCCGCUAUUGUUUAUAUGAUACCCGUACCGUAAACCGACACAGGUGGAUGAGGAGAGAAUCCUAAGGCCGACGGAAGAAGCAUUGUUAAGGAACUCGGCAAAAUGACCCCGUAACUUCGGGAGAAGGGGUGCCUCGAAAGAGGCCGCAGAGAAUAGGCUCAAGCAACUGUUUAGCAAAAACACAGGUCUAUGCAAAACCGCAAGGUGAAGUAUAUGGGCUGACGCCUGCCCGGUGCUGGAAGGUUAAGAGGAGAUGUUAGCGCAAGCGAAGCAUUGAAUUUAAGCCCCAGUAAACGGCGGCCGUAACUAUAACGGUCCUAAGGUAGCGAAAUUCCUUGUCGGGUAAGUUCCGACCCGCACGAAAGGCGUAAUGAUUUGAGCACUGUCUCGACAAUGCAUCCGGUGAAAUUGAAAUACCAGUGAAGAUGCUGGUUACCUGCGCCAGGACGGAAAGACCCCAUGGAGCUUUACUCCAGCUUGAUACUGGGAUUCGGUAUUGCAUGUACAGGAUAGGUGGGAGACUGAGAAUUCACAACGCCAGUUGUGAAGGAGUCAUUGUUGGGAUACCACCCUUGCAGUAUUGGAUUUCUAACCAGCCUCAGAAUGGUUGGAAACCAUUCGCAGAGUGCAAAGGCAUAAGAAGGCUUGACUGUGACACCGACGGGUGGAGCAGGUACGAAAGUAGGACUUAGUGAUCCGGUGGUAUAAAGUGGGAUUGCCAUCGCUCAACGGAUAAAAGCUACCCUGGGGAUAACAGGCUUAUCACUCCCAAGAGUUCACAUCGACGGAGUGGUUUGGCACCUCGAUGUCGGCUCAUCGCAUCCUGGGGCUGUAGUAGGUCCCAAGGGUUGGGCUGUUCGCCCAUUAAAGCGGUACGCGAGCUGGGUUCAGAACGUCGUGAGACAGUUCGGUCCCUAUCCGGCGUGGGCGCAGGAUAUUUGAGAGGAGCUGACCUUAGUACGAGAGGACCGGGUUGGACUGACCUCUGGUGUACCGGUUGUUCUACCAAGAGCAUGGCCGGGUAGCCAAGUCGGGAAGGGAUAAACGCUGAAGGCAUCUAAGCGUGAAGCCCCCCUCAAGAUGAGAUAUCCCCCACAAAAGUGGUAAGACCCCUUGAAGACGACGAGGUAGAUAGGUUAGAGGUGGAAGUGCAGUAAUGUAUGGAGCUGACUAAUACUAAUAGGUCGAAGGCUUAUCCAU